rnacentral:rRNA from 1 species
UUAAGCGACUAAGCGUACACGGUGGAUGCCCUGGCAGUCAGAGGGCGAUGAAGGACGUGCUAAUCUGCGAAAAGCGUCGGUAAGGUGAUAUGAACCGUUAUAACCGGCGAUGUCCCGAAUGGGGAAACCCAGUGUGAUUCGUCACACUAUCGUUAACUGAAUACAUAGGUUAACGAGGCGAACCGGGGGAACUGAAACAUCUAAGUACCCCGAGGAAAAGAAAUCAACCGAGAUUCCCCCAGUAGCGGCGAGCGAAACGGGGAGCAGCCCAGAGUCUGAAUCAGCUUGGUGUGUUAGUGGAACGGUCUGGAAAGUCCGACGGUACAGGGUGAUAGUCCCGUACACCAAAAUGCACAGGUUGUGAACUCGAAGAGUAGGGCGGGACACGUGGUAUCCUGUCUGAAUAUGGGGGGACCAUCCUCCAAGGCUAAAUACUCCUGACUGACCGAUAGUGAACCAGUACCGUGAGGGAAAGGCGAAAAGAACCCCGGCGAGGGGAGUGAAAAAGAACCUGAAACCGUGUACGUACAAGCAGUGGGAGCACCUUUCGGGUGUGACUGCGUACCUUUUGUAUAAUGGGUCAGCGACUUAUAUUCUGUAGCAAGGUUAACCGUAUAGGGGAGCCGCAGGGAAACCGAGUCUUAACUGGCGUUAAGUUGCAGGGUAUAGACCCGAAACCCGGUGAUCUAGCCAUGGGGCAGGUUGAAGGUUGGGUAACACUAACUGGAGGACCGAACCGACUAAUGUUGAAAAAUUAGCGGAUGACUUGUGGCUGGGGGUGAAAGGCCAAUCAAAACCGGGAGAUAGCUGGUUCUCCCCGAAAGCUAUUUAGGUAGCGCCUCGUGAAUUCAUCUUCGGGGGUAGAGCACUGUUUCGGCUAGGGGGUCAUCCCCGACUUACCAAACCCGAUGCAAACUACGAAUACCGAAGAAUGUUAUCACGGGAGACACACGGCGGGUGCUAACGUCCGUCGUGAAGAGGGAAACAACCCAGACCCGCCAGCUAAGGUCCCAAAGUCAUGGUUAAGUGGGAAACGAUGUGGGAAGGCACAGACAGCCAGGAUGUUGGCUUAGAAGCAGCCAUCAUUUAAAGAAAGCGUAAUAGCUCACUGGUCGAGGUCGGCCUGCGCGGAAGAUGUAACGGGGCUAAACCAUGCACCGAAGCUGGCGGCAGCGACACUAUGUGUUGUUGGGUAGGGGAGCGUUCUGUAAGCCUGCGAAGGUGUGCUGUGAGGCAUGCUGGAGGUAUCAGAAGUGCGAAUGCUGACAUAAGUAACGAUAAAGCGGGUGAAAAGCCCGCUCGCCGGAAGACCAAGGGUUCCUGUCCAACGUUAAUCGGGGCAGGGGUGAGUCGACCCCUAAGGCGAGGCCGAAAGGCGUAGUCGAUGGGAAACAGGUUAAUAUUCCUGUACUUGGUGUUACUGCGAAGGGGGGACGGAGAAGGCUAUGUUAGCCGGGCGACGGUUGUCCCGGUUUAAGCAUGUAGGCUGAUUGUCCAGGCAAAUCCGGAUAAUCAAGGCUGAGGUGUGAUGACGAGGCACUACGGUGCUGAAGUAACAAAUGCCCUGCUUCCAGGAAAAGCCUCUAAGCAUCAGGUAACAUCAAAUCGUACCCCAAACCGACACAGGUGGUCAGGUAGAGAAUACCAAGGCGCUUGAGAGAACUCGGGUGAAGGAACUAGGCAAAAUGGUGCCGUAACUUCGGGAGAAGGCACGCUGGUGUGUAGGUGAAGUCCCUGCGGAUGGAGCUGAGACCAGUCGAAGAUACCAGCCUGGCUGCAACUGUUUAUUAAAAACACAGCACUGUGCAAACACGAAAGUGGACGUAUACGGUGUGACGCCUGCCGGUGCCGGAAGGUUAAUUGAUGGGGUUAUCCGUAAGGAGAAGCUCUUGAUCGAAGCCCCGGUAAACCGGCGGCCGUAACUAUAACGGUCCUAAGGUAGCGAAAUUCCUUGUCGGGUAAGUUCCGACCUGCACGAAUGGCGUAAUGAUGGCCAGGCUGUCUCCACCCGAGACUCAGUGAAAUUGAACUCGCUGUGAAGAUGCAGUGUACCCGCGGCAAGACGGAAAGACCCCGUGAACCCUUUACUAUAGCUUGACACUGAACAUUGAGCCUUGAUGUGUAGGAUAGGUGGGAGGCUUUGAAGCGUGGACGCCAGUCUGCGUGGAGCCAACCUUGAAAUACCACCCUUUAAUGUUUGAUGUUCUAACGUUGGCCCCUGACCGGGGGUUGCGGACAGUGUCUGGUGGGUAGUUUGACUGGGGCGGUCUCCUCCCAAAGCGUAACGGAGGAGCACGAAGGUUAGCUAAUCCUGGUCGGACAUCAGGAGGUUAGUGCAAUGGCAUAAGCUAGCUUGACUGCGAGCGUGACGGCGCGAGCAGGUGCGAAAGCAGGUCAUAGUGAUCCGGUGGUUCUGAAUGGAAGGGCCAUCGCUCAACGGAUAAAAGGUACUCCGGGGAUAACAGGCUGAUACCGCCCAAGAGUUCAUAUCGACGGCGGUGUUUGGCACCUCGAUGUCGGCUCAUCACAUCCUGGGGCUGAAGUAGGUCCCAAGGGUAUGGCUGUUCGCCAUUUAAAGUGGUACCGCGAGCUGGGUUUAGAACGUCGUGAGACAGUUCGGUCCCUAUCUGCCGUGGGCGCUGGAGAAUUGAGGGGGGCUGCUCCUAGUACGAGAGGACCGGAGUGGACGCAUCACUGGUGUUCGGGUUGUCAUGCCAAUGGCACUGGCCCGGUAGCUAAAUGCGGAAGAGAUAAGUGCUGAAAGCAUCUAAGCACGAAACUUGCCCCGAGAUGAGUUCUCCCUGAGACUUUAAGUCUCCUGAAGGAACGUUAAAGACGAUGACGUUGAUAGGCCGGGUGUGUAAGCGCAGCGAUGCGUUGAGCUAACCGGUACUAAUGAACCGUGAGGCUUAACCUU